CUCACUGAACAGUGUCUCCAGUUUACUGCUCCAGCAAUCUGCCCUGUACCAUCCAAGGAUCUUGGAACAUCGGGUCACCCCCGACCCAGCCUGGCAGAGUCGCACGCAGAGCAUGGGACCUGCAGAUGAGUCAGGCAAUAUACUCCGUACUCGGUUUCCUGAUCCGCACUUUACCUGCUGCGCUCCUCUGGGACCCAGAUACACAAGGUCCAGCCUGUCCCUGGCUGCAGCACUGGCUGUUGUAAGAGAGUGCCAGGCAACCAGCGCUGAGCCAGUGGGGCACUCACUGCUAUUAGGGAGCCCCUGGGUUCACUGAAAGUUUACCCAUUUUACACAAGGACUCCGCAUUCAAGGCCACAGUUCUCCACGUGACCAAGCUCAGCAUACGGGGAACCCAGAACCAUUGUCUUCAGCAUCGUUCCUCCCGGCACUGAUCAUCAGAGGCCUCUUCCAGGCAUGAGGCCUCCCUGGCCAGACCCCCUUCUGAGUCCAGAACUUCAGGAAACAGCAUUGGAGAAGUCACCACGUGUGCUUGCCUGCUACAGCCCAGGACGUGGGCCAGCAGAGGGUCUGAAGCCAGGUCCAUGAACCCCAGACCCAAAGACUGUGCUCUGACAGGAGCCCUGAAGAGCCACAGAAUCUCAGAUCUGGAAGCGGGAGCUGACACUGGAGGGGUCCAGGAACGACUGGGAGAUCGUCUCAGCACUGUGGUGACUGAUAGGUCUGCAGAAGCCCAAACACUGCAGAGCCCCUCAACAGCGUACAACUCCAAAGGGUUCUCAACACAGGUACCCUGUGCACAUUGUGGGUGCAGAGUGGGGGAUACUGGCUCCAGGAAGGGAGGGUCUGGGUAAAGACCAUCAGGAAAUAGACCAGGCAACACCUUCUUUACCUGGUCAUCGGGGGACCCUGGGACAUGUUCAUUUUGAUCUUUGAUUCUUCGGACUUGGAGGAUCCAGCCAAUGCACAUCGACCACAUCCCAGCUCCUGAGGGAAGCCUGAGCUGAUCACAGGACAUGGAGUAGGAACUGCCCCUGAUCAUGAGCUCUAUGUUAAGGGCCAGGUGGCCUGAUGGAAGGGCUGGCUUUGCAGUGCUCAGACCUGGGGAAUAAGCGGGUGCUCUGUAGAGUCCACGGACAUAGGUUGCACAGAUGUGCACCAGGGAAAGUGUGAGCGAUAUGCACAGAGGGAGGUGCCUGCUAGCCGGAGAGCUCAGUGCCCCAUGGGCAGUGCUCCUUUGAAAAUGUCAGCUACUCUUUUGGAUGCCAGAGGGCAGAAGGCACCUAAGACAGCAGGUGGUCCAUGGGAGGCCAGGGCUGCCCAUCUUAUGCCCAGCAACAGAAAAGGUUCAGGGUAAAACUGGAAUUAAGGUGCCUGGGGCUGCAAGUGGGCAGAAAGUGUCUGGAUGUCCUGACCCACUCCAGGCCAUAAGCACUUAGUUAUCCAGCAAGUGAGACCCAAGGAAGGGAAGCCCUAUGGCAGAUCUUUGCCAAGGCUGUUAGAAGAUGACCUUGGUGAACUAGAAAAACAUGUGCAAAGUCAACCUAAAGUUAACAGGAAGAAGGGAACAAUAAAGAUUAGUGUGGAGAUAAAUGGACUAGAGAACAAAGAGGCACUAGAGAACAUCAGUGAAAACAAAUGCUCCUUCAUGAAAGAAUUGACAAACCUGUAGCUAGUUAACUAAGAAGAAAAGACUCAAAUUGUUAAAUUAGAAAUGGCAAUGAGAUAUCACUAAUGAUCCCACAGAAAGAAAAGUAUUACUAACAGAAUAUCGUGAACAACUAUAGACCAACCAGUUGGUUAACUAGAUGAAGUAGAUGAACUUCUAGAAGAAAACUACCACAACAGACCCAAUAAGAAAUGGAACAUCUAAAUAGACCUAGAAUAAGGAGGGAGAUUAAAUCAGUAAUCACAAAUUUCCCAACAAAGAAUACCCAAGGACCAGAUGACUUUCUUCGUGCAUUCUCCCAAAUUUUAAAGAAAUAACAACAAUCCUUCUCAAGGUCUCCAAAAUUAAAAAAGUGAGGAAGGUAUAUGUCUUAACUCAUUCUUACUGUAUUACUAUCCUACCAAAGACAAAGACUUAACAAGAGAAGAAAAUGACAAAAUAAAAUAUGAAUACAGAUACAAAAAUUGCCAACAAAAUAUUCACCAGUAGCGUUUAGCACAUUGCCAGCAUGCCCCUGGCAUGAAGAGAUAGAAACACAUGAGAGAGAGAGAAAGCAUCCUCUAAUGUAGCAUGGUCUUGCUGUAA